AUCUAACUGAUGAGUCUCAAAUAGGACGAAACGCGCGUUCCGGAU
rnacentral:hammerhead_ribozyme from 1 species